CCCAUGGAGAGUUGGCACAGCCUCUGCAUUGGUCACUGCACAAAUUAUUAAAGCGCGCCCUUCAACGAUGAAGGCUGCACUUCCCGAAUAGAUCGGGACUUGGACAAAGGCGUCCUCGCUAGGUGACUAGCGGGACGCC
rfam:Pseudomonas taeanensis MS-3 contig_03, whole genome shotgun sequence.